AGUGGAUCGAGGCCAAACUUCCGUUUAGCUUUCUUAUUUUCUCUGCAGAAUUGGAUGCGAUGGCUUGUGAAGCGUUUCUGGUCCGAGGGGCAGCAGAUGCAACGGUGGUGGUUGUAAGGAGUCCCUCUACCAGCACAUGCUCACUUUGUGGGGAUGGUUUUCCUACUGCCCUUAGCCAUCUUGCUUGCGCUGCGAGAACUGGAAGUUUUCCCUAA
rnacentral:lncRNA from 1 species